AGUGAACGCUGGCGGUAGGCCUAACACAUGCAAGUCGAACGGCAGCACAGUAAGAGCUUGCUCUUACGGGUGGCGAGUGGCGGACGGGUGAGGAAUACGUCGGAAUCUACUUUUUCGUGGGGGAUAACGUAGGGAAACUUACGCUAAUACCGCAUACGACCUACGGGUGAAAGCAGGGGAUCUUCGGACCUUGCGCGAUUGAAUGAGCCGAUGUCGGAUUAGCUAGUUGGCGGGGUAAAGGCCCACCAAGGCGACGAUCCGUAGCUGGUCUGAGAGGAUGGUCAGCCACACUGGAACUGAGACACGGUCCAGACUCCUACGGGAGGCAGCAGUGGGGAAUAUUGGACAAUGGGCGCAAGCCUGAUCCAGCCAUACCGCGUGGGUGAAGAAGGCCUUCGGGUUGUAAAGCCCUUUUGUUGGGAAAGAAAAGCAGCAGGUUAAUACCCCGCUGUUCUGACGGUACCCAAAGAAUAAGCACCGGCUAACUUCGUG
rnacentral:rRNA from 1 species